rnacentral:rRNA from 1 species
UACGUAGGGGGCAAGCGUUGUCCGGAAUCAUUGGGCGUAAAGAGCGCGUAGGCGGCCCGAUAAGUCCGCUGUGAAAGUCAAGGGCUUAACCCUUGAAUGCCGGUGGAAACUGUCGGGCUAGAGUCCGGAAGAGGCGAGUGGAAUUCCUGGUGUAGCGGUGAAAUGCGCAGAUAUCGGGAAGAACACCCAUGGCGAAGGCAGCUCUCUGAGACGGUACUGACGCUGAGGCGCGAAAGCUAGGGGAGCGAACGGG